AUUGAACGCUGGCGGCAGGCUUAACACAUGCAAGUCGAACGAGUGGCGGACGGGUGAGUAAUGUCUGGGAAACUGCCUGAUGGAGGGGGAUAACUACUGGAAACGGUAGCUAAUACCGCAUACUAUCGGAUGUGCCAAGAUGGGGUUAGCUAGUGGGUGGGGUAAAGGCGCACCUAGGCGACGAUCCCUAGCUGGUCUGAGAGGAUGACCAGCGGGACUGGAACUGAGACGCGGGCCAGACUCCUACGGGAGGCAGCAGUGGGAAAUAUUGCACAAUGGGCGCAAGCCUGAUGCAGCCAUGCCGCGGGUGUUAAGAAGGCCUUCGGGUUGUAAAGUACUUUCAGCGGGGAGGCGUUACCCGCAGAAGAAGCACCGGCUAACUCCGUGCCAGCAGCCGCGGUAAUAC
rnacentral:rRNA from 1 species